UCUUCUUUGUCUUCUUCCUCGGUUCACGGGAUCCAUCUGGUCAAAGCCAUAAGUAAACACCUUCAAUCUAGCAAACUCCGCCGCCGUUUCCAUGGCAUCCCGCCACCACCACGCCUGCUCACAACGCCAUAACCACUACAAUCAAAUCCCUCUAGUCCCCACGUCUCCACGCUGCUGUACAUACAGAGAUUCUCCUCCCUGCUGCACUCACUCCAACCUUUCACCGCCGCCAGAUAAUCUCCAUCACCCCCUCGCUUCUUACCUCCAAACCCAUCAACAAGAAACACACUUUCGUAACCAAACCUGCUCCUGCAACCAAAACAACGUUCCACGACAACAACACGACCAAGUUAUCCUCUCCUGUCUCCUCCGCAAAAUCGAUGCUCUCGAGUCAUCUCUCAACAAGUUCGCACCUUUCCACGACCAACGCCGCGACCGAUACUCCACACUGAGAGACUCCGCCGCGCGUGUCAUCCAAACCCAUUUCCGCUCUUACCUUGUUCAGAGAUCCAUCUCCUUUAGACAUCUCAAGGAGCUCGCAGUGAUCAAAUCCAGCUUCUUGUCUCUCAAGUCUUCGGUUUCGGGCAAACCCAUUUUCCCUUACAAGGUUGUUUCUCGGAAAGCUACAGACUUGCUCCUUCAACUUGAUUCGAUUCAGGUAUAAUGUGAAUAAAGUUUUGUCCUUUUUUGUUUUUGGAGAUGUUUGAUUUUAGUGUUCGUUUGGUUCUCUGUUAGGGUAGGGUUGAUCCAAUGAUACGGAGUAGUAAGAGGUCUUUGAGCAGAGAUUUGGUGAGGUUUUUGCAGUACGUUGAUGAUUGUGUUGUUAAAAGGUAUUCUGCUGCUAGUGUGAGCUUUGUGGGUAGCCACAGCAAAAGGCCUCAGGGUUUUGGUGUAGCAGAAAAGAGAAGAGUGGAGAAGUUGAGAAACCAAAUGGGGAAAGUCUUUGUUACUUGUGAUGAGGGUGAAGAGUUGGACUCCACUACUGAUGAUAGUGAAGAAGUCUCUAUUGAUAAGAGAAAGAGUGGUAGCUCUAAGUUUAGAACUGGGGCCAAUGUAGUGAAGCCUCCGGUUAGGAAGACCAUGGUACUUGACAAGAACAGGAAUGUGUAUCAGGAUGAGUCAGUUGAUAGUAGCGAGGAAGAAACCCUUGUGGUAACCAGGGAUAAUGAAAGGAAGCAGCAUGGUUUGAAAACUAGGAAGAUGGUUUUGGUGAAAGAAGGUGGAGGAAAGAGCCGUGUGGUGAAAACUGUGAGGUUUGAUGAGGAUGGGAAUGUGUAUAAGGUUUAUGGAGAUACGCCGGAGUCAAGUAUUACCGAGGAGGGAGAUGACUCAACAAGCGGAUCAAUCGAUGGUAAUGGAGACAAGAAAGGGAAUGAGAAUGAAGUCGAGGAGAUCAAGUAUGUUCCCAAGGAAAACGAGGGCUUUGAAGAAGAAGAAGACGAAACUCAUUCUGAAAAUGAAGUCUCUUCUUCAGAAGCCAGUGAAAGUAAUGAACACAAGCAGAGGCAGAUCCAGGUUCAAAAAGGAAACUUAAUGGUCUCUCCUCCAUUGCCACUAAAAAUGGAACCUUAACCAGUGAAUCAUGAAAGAUCCAAGUCUUCUUCUUCUUUGGUUAUGCAUGGCUUUUAGUCUCUUCCCUGAACCCAAAUAAGGUUAACUUUCUUUGUUGUAGAAACUGUAACAUAAGCAGAUGGUUCAAGAUUAGGUUCUGGGAAGAUCUGUGAGAGUUUUUUAUUCUUGGUUUGCUGAUUCUGUCUUUUUAUUUAUUCUCCACGAAACUUUUGAGUUGAGCAUUUUCUUCAUAGAUAUUCUUUUGAGUGUUGGUUUCCUUAGUUGCAUGUGGAGAUCAACUCAAUAAGAAGUUCUGUUUCUUGCAUUGUUCUUGAGUGUGUGUAAUAUAUUAUGCUUCUAAAAUAUAUAAGUUGUAUCAAUCGAACCGUAUAGAAUCAGUAGUAUCGUUAUUGGAUCUUGCCGACAAUGUGAUUAAUGAUUAUAGUCUCUUGUGUGACAUUUGUUUGCUAGCUUAAUAGUAUAAUGUACUAGCACUAGCAGUAGUAUCGUUCUUGGAUCUUGACGACAAUGUGAUUAUAGUCUCUGUGUCAGAUUUGUUUGGUAGCUUAAUAGUGUUAAUUAAAGUACUCGGUCAAUCGUUUAAUACAAGAAAUAUUUUCACAAGUGCACUAAAACUAAUGAGUAUUGACAAAAGUAGUCCAUAAAUUAACGAUCAAGACGCGAAGCACAUUGCAAGUGGAUGUCUUGUCGCUUUCUCCAAGAAAUAUCUCUGAUCAGCUCCAGUCCCACUGUAGAAUAACGUGACCUUUCACUUGUCCCCCCAUAUCCAAUAACACUAUGACACGUGGAUAUUUACUUCACAUUAUAAGUGAUCAGUGUGAUCACUGAGUUGCCUCGUGAAACUGAAAAGCUUCAGAGAGAGAGAGAUGGAUACGAUGCGAAUCUCCGCCGGAGCUGAGAAGAUUCCGGUGAAAUGCAACUCCCUGUCGAGCCUCGUCACUCGUCGCUGGAGAACGAAGAAGUUCCCGGCGAGGAUCAGAAACUGGCGACUUUUAUCGGUGAAAUCUAUCUCCAGCAAUACCAAGACUCUAGUCACCGAUUCCGAACAAGGUCCAAGUCUCAUCUAUAUCCUCCUUUCUCAUUCAGACGCGUUAAAUGAUGAUUAUAAAAAAAAAAAAAUCAUAUCUUUUUUGAUUGAAAACAGUAGCCUCGAGCAUCAAGCACCACUCUGAGUUCAGGCCUCUGUUCUCUCCCGAGAAGUUCGAGCUGCCUAAGGCUUUCUUCGCCACCGCACAGAGCGUCAGAGACGCUCUGAUCGUGAACUGGAACUCUACUUAUGAGUGUUACAACAGAGUGAAUCCGAAACAGGCUUACUAUCUGUCUAUGGAGUUUCUGCAGGUUCGCUUUACUUUAAAGUCUCAUCCUUUUCCUCUUUUGUAGUACUUUGGUUUAUUAUUAUCUGAUCAUCUUGGUGGCCCUAUUGUAGGGUAGAGCCUUGUUGAAUGCAGUUGGUAACCUCGGCCUCACUGGUGCUUACGGUGAUGCUUUGAAGAGUCUUGGCUUUGAAUUAGAAAGUGUAGCUGGUCAGGUUAGUUGAUUAUUGUAGAUUGGUCUAUGAUUUACUUUUGGUUUCCUUUUGGUUUCCAAAAGACCUCGUACUAAUUAGAGUUGGUACUAAUUAGAGUUGGAAAGCUCUUUAUAUAUUAGACUCUCUUUGUCUAAUUCUCCGAUAUGGGACUUUGUUUGUUAUAUCAUAUGUGCACCCGUAAAUUUAUUCAUUCACAUAAUAAUAUACAAACCUUGGAUAGGUAUUUUGCCUUAAUGCGAUUUGCUCUAUAAGUUUCUUUGCUUUUUUUCGAUUUGAUUCGUGUUUGUUCAUAGCAAGACUGUCUUUUCUUAAUCUUUUGCUGAAUCGCUAACUUCUUUACUUCCAAUUUGUAGGAGCCAGAUCCUGCACUUGGGAACGGUGGACUCGGGAGACUCGCCUCGUGCUUUUUGGACUCCAUGGCUACUCUGAACUAUCCGGCGUGGGGUUAUGGACUUAGGUACAAGUACGGCUUGUUCAAACAGAUAAUCACUAAAGAUGGUCAGGAGGAAGCUGCAGAAGACUGGCUUGAGGUCUCCUUCUUCUUGCUAUUCUAAUUUUUUUACUCCAUCAGUGACUUAAAUGGUUUCUUUUUCAGCUAAGCAAUCCUUGGGAGAUAGUCAGAAACGAUGUCUCGUAUCCAGUAAAGUUCUAUGGGAAAGUGGUUUUUGGAUCAGAUGGUAGGAAACGGUGGAUUGGUGGUGAAGACGUUGUGGCCGUUGCUUAUGAUGUUCCUAUCCCUGGCUAUAAAACCAAGACUACUAUCAAUCUACGGCUCUGGUCAACAAAGGCCCCUUCAGGAGAUUUUGAUUUGUCUUUGUAUAACUCUGGCAAGCACACUGAGGCAGCAGAAGCUCUAUUCAACGCUGAAAAGGUCUCUAUUCACUUUCUCUUUGUUUUACAAUAGAACAGAGUUUUCGAAGUGUACAUUACUGAAAAAAAUAGUUGUUUGUCUUAUUAGAUUUGCUACGUGCUUUAUCCUGGAGAUGAGUCAGAUGAAGGAAAGGCUCUUAGGCUGAAGCAACAGUACACUCUGUGCUCAGCCUCGCUUCAAGAUAUCGUAGCACGGUUUGAGACGAGGUCUGGAGGGAGUGUUAACUGGGAAGAGUUUCCAGAGAAGGUUGCGGUGCAGAUGAAUGACACUCACCCAACCCUAUGCAUUCCUGAGCUUAUGAGGAUUCUAAUGGAUUUGAAAGGACUUAGCUGGGAGGACGCUUGGAAAAUCACACAGAGGUACUUGUUGAAAAUGACUGUGUCUCUUGUUCUUAUUUGUUUUCCUUCCUCUUAAAAUAAAGAUUAUCUAGGGCUGGGAUUUUGAACCGAAAUAACCAAAUUUCAAACUGCACUGAUCGAAAUUAAGUGAACUUAACUGAACUUAUCCAAAAAAAAAAUUAACUGAACUUAUUCAAAAUUUAAACCAAAAAAAAAUCUGGCAGGAUUUUCAAAAACAGAACUAACCAAAUACCGAACCAAACUUUAUUUCGGGUUGGUUCGGUAAAAUUUAUGCCGAACCAAACUAUCCAAACUGAAUUACCCGAACCCGCACUACAGGUUUGUAACCUGCAACGUAUUUCUAAAUAGAAUAAUAUUUACAGGACUGUGGCAUACACAAACCAUACAGUCUUGCCUGAGGCAUUGGAGAAGUGGAGUUUAGAACUAAUGGAGAAAUUGCUCCCUCGUCAUGUAGAGAUUAUCGAAAAGAUUGAUGAGGAGGUCCGUCUCUCAACACCAUCAAAUGUCUCUCUUCUUCUUUUUCUUUUUCCACAUCUCUGGUCUAAUCUGCACUUUCUGUAUUGCAGCUAGUGGGCACAAUUGUUUCCGAGUAUGGCACCGCAGAUCCUGACUUGCUCAAGGAGAAACUGAACGCAAUGAGGAUAUUAGAAAACGUCGAGUUGCCUUCUGCCUUUGCAGAUGUGAUUGUAAAGCCAGAGAGCAAACCAGUUAUUGCAGAAAAGACCAUAGACCUGUCAGAAGAUGCUAAAGAAGAUGCUCAAACUGAUGUGAUUGUAAAGCCAGAGAGCAAACCAGUUAUUGCAGAAAAGACCAUAGACCUGUCAGAAGAUGCUAAAGAAGAUGCUCAAACUGAUGUGAAAAAGGAAGUAGAAGAGGAAGAAACUGCUGGCGUCAUAGCGGAAGUUAUCCCAGAACCACCAAAGAUGGUCCGUAUGGCCAACCUUGCUGUUGUGGGUGGUCAUGCUGUA
rnacentral:lncRNA from 1 species